rnacentral:snoRNA from 1 species
GCUGCAGCAGCUGCUGCUGCAGCAGCUGCUGCUGCUGCUGCUGCUGCUGCAGUGGAGGCAGAGAGGAGCAGCAGCAAAGCUUCGCUUAAUGGGCAGCAAACAAGUGCUGCUGCAGCACU